CUCUCUCUCUCUCUCUCUCUCUCUCUCUCCUGAUGCUAUGCAGUGCCCUGCUGAGAACCAUUACAGCUUAUAGCCCUGAGGGUGCAGGCCGUCGCGUCAGCAGCAGACACAAUUCAGACCUCAAUUAUCUUCAGAUCCAUCUUUGUCGCUGACAAUUUUAUGUGCACAUCGGUAAUUGUGAAGAAAUUAAUGCAAUGGAGAGCUUGGGGAAAGGACGGGCAGUGCAGAUCAUUUUGAAUUCACCUGCACCUGCAAUAAUUCUCAUUCUACGGAGAAAGUACAGUGGUUAUUUGUGGUAGCAAUGUUGCUAAUUGGAGUCCAGUAAAGGAUAAACGAGUGGAUAAAACCCAAGUUCCCCGUGACCCUGAAAAGGAGUAAGUGGUAGAAGAUGGAUGGAUGGAUGGUGAUAAAAAACAAAAGCUUAUUAAUCAAAUGGAAAUUCUACUAGCUAUGUGUUUAUGGGAAUGUUUAAUGUACACCAAUGGAAAAGCAAUCAUAGUACCUAAGAGAAGAUGAAAACUUUUUAAAAUAUAUAGGGUAUUUUGCCAAAACGUGUACAUUUUCCCUAUAUAUGGAGAAUUUUGGGAUAUCAUUUUACAAAUUUAGUGUUGUUAUUUUUAAUGCCCAGGUAACUAACUACUCUACUUCAUUUUGCCCUUACGAAUAGCAGGC
ensembl:lncRNA